AGUGAACGCUGGCGGUAGGCCUAACACAUGCAAGUCGAACGGCAGCACAGUAAGAGCUUGCUCUUACGGGGUGCGAGUGGCGUACGGGUGAGGAAUACAUCGGGAUCUACUUUUUCGUGUGGGUUAACGUAGGUAAACUUACUCUAAUACCGCAUCCGACCUACGGGUGAAAGCAGUGGAUCUUCGGACCUUGCGCGGUUGAAUGAGCCGCUGUGGGAUUGGCUGGUUGGCGGGUUACAGGCCCACCAAGUCGACGAUCGGCAGCUGGUCUGAGAGGAUGAUCAGCGGCAUGGGAGCGUGGACACGGACCAUGGUACUACGGGAGGCCGCAGAGGGGAAUAUUGGACAGUAGGGGCAAGCAUGAUCCAGCCAUCCCGAGUGGGUGAAGAAGGCGUUCGGGUUGUAAAGCCCGUUUGCUGGGAAAGAAAAGCAGCAGGUUAAUACCCCGCUGUUCUGACGGUAACCAAAGAAUAAGCACCGGCUAACUUCGUG
rnacentral:rRNA from 1 species